rnacentral:rRNA from 1 species
UACGUUGGGGGCUAGCGUUGUCCGGAAUCAUUGGGCGUAAAGAGCGUGUAGGCGGCCCGGUAAGUCCGCUGUGAAAGUCGGGGGCUCAACCCUCGAAUGCCGGUGGAUACUGUCGGGCUAGAGUGCGGAAGAGGCGAGUGGAAUUCCUGGUGUAGCGGUGAAAUGCGCAGAUAUCAGGAGGAGCACCGAUUGCGAAGGCAGCUCGCUGGGACGUCACUGACGCUGAGACGCGAAAGCGUGGGGAGCAAACAGG